rnacentral:rRNA from 1 species
CCUACGGGAGGCAGCAGUAAGGAAUAUUGGUCAAUGGACGAAAGUCUGAACCAGCCAUGCCGCGUGAAGGAUUAAGGCCCUCUGGGUUGUAAACUUCUUUUAUCUGGGACGAAAAAAGGGUAUUCUUACUCACUUGACGGUACCAGAGGAAUAAGCACCGGCUAACUCCGUGCCAGCAGCCGCGGUAAUACGGAGGGUGCAAGCGUUAUCCGGAUUUACUGGGUUUAAAGGGUGCGUAGGUGGGCUUGUAAGUCAGUGGUGAAAUCUCCGGGCUUAACCCGGAAACUGCCAUUGAUACUAUAGGUCUUGAAUUAUCUGGAGGUAAGCGGAAUAUGUCAUGUAGCGGUGAAAUGCUUAGAUAUGACAUAGAACACCAAUUGCGAAGGCAGCUUACUACGGAUACAUUGACACUGAGGCACGAAAGCGUGGGGAUCAAACAGGAUUAGAUACCCUGGUAGUCCACGCCCUAAACGAUGGAUACUCGACAUCAGCGAUACACUGUUGGUGUCUGAGCGAAAGCAUUAAGUAUCCCACCUGGAAGUACGAUCGCAGAUUGAAACUUAAGGAAUUGACGG